AGGAUAAUAGUUAAUUAUAACAUUUAAUUUGCAUUUAAAAAGUAUUGUAAAAACAAUUUAUCUUA
rnacentral:tRNA from 1 species